rnacentral:piRNA from 1 species
GAAGCAUCAUUGAUGGUUUGUGGAC